rnacentral:tRNA from 13 species
GUGGCUGUAGCUCAGUUGGCAGAGCACCGGGUUGUGGUCCCGGGUGUCGUGGGUUCAAAUCCCAUCAGUCACCCCA